GUGCCAGCAGCCGCGGUAAUACGUAGGAUGCAAGCGUUGUCCGGAUUUACUGGGCGUAAAGCGCGCGCAGGCGGCACAUUAAGUAAGGUGUGAAAUAUCCCGGCUCAACCGGGAGGGUGCACUUUAGACUGAUGAGCUUGAGGUCGGUAGAGGGGGGUGGAAUUGCUGGUGUAGCGGUGAAAUGCGUAGAGAUCAGCAGGAACACCCGUGGCGAAGGCGGCCCCCUGGGCCGUACCUGACGCUGAGGCGCGAAGGCUAGGGGAGCGAACGGGAUUAGAUACCCCGGUAGUCC
rnacentral:rRNA from 1 species